rnacentral:RNase_P_RNA from 1 species
GUAGCUGGAUGGUCGCCCCACACCCAGAAAUACCACGGCAUUGAGGUGGCGUACCGGACGUGAACGUCGUCCGGGUUCAUCGAAGUGACCCGUGGUACUGCUGGGUGUGGGGAGGAAAGUCCGAGCUCCGCAGGGCAGCGUACCCCGAUAACGUCGGGGCCUUCCUCGAAAGGGGUUGAGGAUGCCCCGCCAAACGGCGGGGACUCGCCGAGUCAUCGGUGAGAGAGCCACAGAGACGAGUACCCCCGCGGUUAGAUUUCGAGCCGAAGGGCGAGAAAUCUGCGGGGGGAGGUGAAACGCGGCAAUCUCUACGUGGAGCAAGGCCAAACGCGCCGACACCCGAAAGGGAUACGGUAGCCCACCGAACAGUCGGGGAGGUAGGCCGCAGGAGUCCCGUCGCAAGGCGGGAACUAGAUGGAUGACCAUCGGCCGUCGCUUCGCGACGGAGCAAUCCCGAGCGGAGCGAGGGUCACAGAACUCGGCUUACAGUUCCAUUA